rnacentral:rRNA from 1 species
UGGGGAAUAUUGGACAAUGGGCGCAAGCCUGAUCCAGCCAUGCCGCGUGAGUGAUGAAGGCCCUAGGGUUGUAAAGCUCUUUCACCGGUGAAGAUAAUGACGGUAACCGGAGAAGAAGCCCCGGCUAACUUCGUGCCAGCAGCCGUGGUAAUACGAAGGGGGCUAGCGUUGUUCGGAUUUACUGGGCGUAAAGCGCACGUAGGCGGAAUUUUAAGUCAGGGGUGAAAUCCCGGGGCUCAACCCCGGAACUGCCUUUGAUACUGGAAGUCUUGAGUAUGGUAGAGGUGAGUGGAAUUCCGAGUGUAGAGGUGAAAUUCGUAGAUAUUCGGAGGAACACCAGUGGCGAAGGCGGCUCACUGGACCAUUACUGACGCUGAGGUGCGAAAGCGUGGGGAGCAAACAGG